AUGGACACCCUUUACCACGUAUUCCAUAUCUACUGGCCAGUGUUUUUCGUCAUCUGUUCUAUAUUAUACUUCACCAUGUAUAUUCUUAUCUACAACUUCACUACGAAGAUUUUGAAGCCCAUGAGAAUCUUUCUCUACUCUUCCAAUGCUGCAAUGAUGUCCUCAAUUGCGAUGGCGUUUGCUACACAAGCUAGAAAAGUCUAUAACACGGAGUCCAUUGCACUUUUGGCUGAUGGGUUCUGCAAGUACAUUGGACCCAGCGUUUGUCAGCACUGCUAUAAUUUGUGGACGACUUUCGGAAUAGCAGCAUGCAUGAUUAACCUGCACAUGCUCUACUAUCGCACCAUGUGCCUCAAGCAUUUGAACCCAAAAACGGCUGAGAAAUGGACCUUGAUGUACUCAGUGCAUUACAUAUUCCCAAUAGCUUAUCAAAUUCUAAUGCUCAUUCCCUCGUCAAGCAACGCGGAAGUCCACAUUGAAACUCUUCAACUUCACCCAGAAUACGACUACACACCAUACUUGGACUUUGGCGGUUACACUUUUGCACAAAGAAUCUAUGUAGAGAAGACAGCACUGUUCCUGAUUGCUGCAACAUUUUACUAUCCAAUAGUUGGAAGUUACUGGAGAUACCAGGCGAUGAAAAUCUUGAAGACCCACUCAUCAUCGAAUACGUCAAAGGGCACGCUUGUUUUGUUAAGGUUCUUGAUCAAGGUAACUGUGACAUGAAAAAGGUUUGAAUAAAGGCUUCGAGCCUAGGCCUUCCACGAGGACGCUACUCUCGCCGAUCCGCACCACACAACGCCUCACACGAACCACCACACGGCAGCUUCUCAUACAUCACACAAAUAUAGUGACGGGCGGACCUGUGCAGCGUCGGCCGCAGUACACAGAGUGCUAUAGGGCAGGAGUGUGCGGACGUGGUGUACACUAUUCACGCCUCGCCUAUGUGGGAGGCCUAGACCAGCCAAUCUUUGUCUUCGUCGCUUGCUGCUUUUUUUAGCUUGAAAUCAAUGGCUUGGUGUCUACACAACAUAUUGUGAUAGGUAGACGUUUUGCAGCGUCCGACAAAUUCUGAGUUCCGCACCAUUGCGGUGCCCAAAUAGAAGACUCAUAGGACUAUAGUCUAAAUUUAAUUUUUAGGGACUGAAUUUUCAAAUUCUUCUUCCAAUGAUCAGCUAUAUCCCAACUACUUCUAUUUAUGUAUUCAACAAAGUUAUAGGCGCGCAAUUCUCCUUGUCCCAAUACACAGUCACAUUUCUCGGCACCAUUCCGUGCGUUCUCGACCCGUUUGUUCAAAUCUACUUCAUAACUCCUUACCGGGAAGCGGUUCGGAAACUAUUCAACCGCAAGCCACGCGUAGUGGAUACUGCUAAUGUUAGUGUUAGUAGAGUGUCACGAAUUACUUCUUGA